UCGGAUGUAGCUCAAUAGGCAGAGCGUCGGAAUUUGACUCCGAAGGUUGUAGGUUCGAUCCCUACCAUCUGAU
rnacentral:tRNA from 1 species